AACACGUGGUCCAUUCUCCAUUCUCAUUUAUUCACACAUUUUUCCCAAAUUGAGAGAGAGAGGAGCUCGAGAAAUUGAGGAGAGAAGAGAAAUCUCAAGCUAAAAAUAGUAUUCACCUCUCUCUCUUCAAAUCUACUUUUCUCACAAAUUGGAGCUCUGAUCGACGACCUGUUUGCGGCUACGCGUUUUUCUCGUCUCGCUCUACAUUUCUAUACUAUUUUGUAGUGAGUAAUCACGAGAACCUUAUCUCGUUCCUCCAAUCUUUACUGACUUCGCAUUUUUGGGUAUGUGGGUGUUGAAAUUUGUGAUUUUGAUACUUUAGCGAAAGUUCAAGCUUAAUUUCUAAUGGAAUUUUGACCUAUGAUAAUGUAGAGUAAGAUUGAACAAAGUUGCUUAAAUGCUUGGCUUGGUUGGUGUGGAUUGAGGCUUGAAUUGAGUGCUUGGUUUGAAUUGGUCAGAGAAAGAGGUUCAAAAGGAUAGAAACUACCAUCAAUUAAGUCCCCAUCCUCAUCACCAUUCGCCUCCAAAAUUUCGUCACUGGUCACUUCCCACGACUCCAGCCAUCGUCGCCGUUGAGGAGUGUCCACCUAGAGCUUGUUUCUGCAUUGGGACGUCGCGUUAUCUCCUCUACGAGUUGUUGCCACCACUUGCUUCCAUCAGUUGUGACGCGUCCCUUCUCCCUUCAUCCAGGUAGAUAUAUCAAGCAAAGAUAGUGGCUGGAGUCAGAGUCGUGGUUGGGGUAGAGGGCUGGUGACUCACACCCUAGAGACUACUCAGUCACCCUCUACAUCGACUAUGCUUGCGACAUCACAGGCACAAGUCCCAUAACACCAGCCAUUCAUCAUGAUCCCAACCCCAAUUAUGUGGGUCCUAUGAUGGUUGCUUCUCCUCAUCCUCAGCUAGAGCAGACUCUUCCACCCCCUCAGCAGACCCCUACAUUCACGCCACCCCCCGUGACAGGCUCUACAGCAAUGCCAACCUCCCUUCAUGGAUCCCAGCCAAAUCCUGCAGCACAACAGAUCACUAAGAUGACGAUUUAUCCUGAUGGAAUGACUGGAUAAAAACUUCUCUAACUCGUAUAUAAAUACAAUUUACAUUGAAAUUGUUUUAAUGUAUAUUUUUACUAAGUGUAAGUUCUUCGUACGUAAGUUUGCACUGGAUAAUAAUGCUUGUAUACAGGAGUGUACAAAGAUUAUCAAGCUAAUGUACCCUUGGCUGAGCUACAAGAAGGUUCCUCAUGAUAUCAAAAUGUGAUGGUUUGAUAAGAGACAGAAAAAUUCAUGUGGGAUGAGGCCCAGCACUAGAUGAUAAAAAAAGAUCUUCCACCACCGCAUGGCUAAACGUUUUCAGCAGAUGUUAGAGGACGUGUGGAUAAGGAGUGAUAACCAUUUGCAGUGUCUUCAACCUGACAUUAAAAAUAUCUUAUAUUUGUACAGCAAGACGGAUGAGGGUUUCAGACAUCUCCAAGCCACGAAUAGAGCCAACAGGGCAUCAACCAAGGCAUUGAAGUACACAAGAAGGUUGGCCACGAUUAUGAAAAUAAGGGCCAAAAUAGUAUAAAUUCUUUUAACAUGUUAAGCUAGUUUUAUCUUUGUUUCCUUAAUUAAUUGUCACUUCUUUUGAUCUGCUUGUCCAAUAUAUGAAGACAAAUUCAUUGGACUAUCAUGUUACCAUGGCAAUGGUCUUCAAACAAGUCCAUGCGCUCAAGGAGAACAAGGAAAGAUUUGUUGCUCUACGAUAGUUUACAUGAGUAAUCGACUAAAAUAAUUUAAUAACAUACUAUUAUAACUAUAGUUAUCUUAACACUCACAUGUCAUGUGUUAGGAUUUAUACACUCAGAACUUUGAGGUUGCAACCUAGCAAUUUCAGCAAAAUGGGGAGGAUGGCAACGCCUCAAGUGCAUCCGUGGUGAAUCUUGAUGCGGUGAGCUCCUCGAUCGCACACAUGGAAGAGAGAGAUGCUUGGAUGUGAAGAUAAAGUCCUUGAAAUAGGAGUUCAGAUAGGAGCUGAAGCAGAUACUGCACAUGCAACAUCAGAUAGCGAUCUACUAUGAGCAUAUGUGCGUGGGUGACAAUGCCGCUACUGGAGGAGGGGGAUCCUUGUCAUCUGCACUUGCACCCCGCAUCAAGACAGGCCACACGAUUAGGAGGAGGAGGACGCCGGCAAUUACGAGGUUCCAUAGAUAUUAGGAUUUUGUUUUGUCUAGUGUGACAUUACUAUUUUUUAUUUGGUUACAUUGACAACAUCACUUUAUUUUAUUUUUGACAUUUUUUA